AUGCUCACUUCAACAGCACAUAUACUAAAAUUGAAAUGAUACAGAGAUUAGCAUAGACCCUGUGCAAGGAUUACAUGUAAGUUUGUGAAGCAUUCCAUAUUUUU
ensembl:snRNA U6 U6 spliceosomal RNA